UACGGGGGAGCAAGCGUUGUUCGGAUUUACUGGCGUAAAGGGCGCGUAGGCGGUCGUGACAAGUCACUUGUGAAAUCUCCGGGCUUAACUCGGAACGGUCAAGUGAUACUGUCGACUAGAGUACAGAAGGGGCAACUGGAAUUCUCGGUGUAGCGGUGAAAUGCGUGGAUAUCGAGAGGAACACCUGCGGCGAAGGCGGGUUGCUGGGCUGAUACUGACGCUGAGGCGCGAAAGCCAGGGAGGCGAACGGG
rnacentral:rRNA from 1 species